rnacentral:rRNA from 1 species
AGUUUGAUCCUGGCUCAGGAUGAACGCUAGCUACAGGCUUAACACAUGCAAGUCGAGGGGAAACGACAUCGAAAGCUUGCUUUUGAUGGGCGUCGACCGGCGCACGGGUGAGUAACGCGUAUCCAACCUGCCCACCACUUGGGGAUAACCUUGCGAAAGUAAGACUAAUACCCAAUGACGUCUCUAGAAGACAUCUGAAGGAGAUUAAAGAUUUAUCGGUGAUGGAUGGGGAUGCGUCUGAUUAGCUUGUUGGCGGGGUAACGGCCCACCAAGGCUACGAUCAGUAGGGGUUCUGAGAGGAAGGUCCCCCACAUUGGAACUGAGACACGGUCCAAACUCCUACGGGAGGCAGCAGUGAGGAAUAUUGGUCAAUGGGCGAGAGCCUGAACCAGCCAAGUAGCGUGCAGGAUGACGGCCCUAUGGGUUGUAAACUGCUUUUAUAAGGGAAUAAAGUGAGCCUCGUGAGGCUUUUUGCAUGUACCUUAUGAAUAAGGACCGGCUAAUUCCGUGCCAGCAGCCGCGGUAAUACGGAAGGUCCGGGCGUUAUCCGGAUUUAUUGGGUUUAAAGGGAGCGUAGGCCGGAGAUUAAGCGUGUUGUGAAAUGUAGACGCUCAACGUCUGCACUGCAGCGCGAACUGGUUUCCUUGAGUACGCACAAAGUGGGCGGAAUUCGUGGUGUAGCGGUGAAAUGCUUAGAUAUCACGAAGAACUCCGAUUGCGAAGGCAGCUCACUGGAGCGCAACUGACGCUGAAGCUCGAAAGUGCGGGUAUCGAACAGGAUUAGAUACCCUGGUAGUCCGCACGGUAAACGAUGGAUGCCCGCUGUUGGUCUGAAUAGGUCAGCGGCCAAGCGAAAGCAUUAAGCAUCCCACCUGGGGAGUACGCCGGCAACGGUGAAACUCAAAGGAAUUGACGG